rnacentral:rRNA from 1 species
GAUGAACGCUGGCGGCGUGCUUAAUACAUGCCAGUCGAACGGAAGGGCGCUGAUCUUGCGUCGUUCUCGUUUGCCGCACGGGGGAGUAUCACACGAGUAACCUGCACUUGUCUUUGUGAUAACUCUUGGAGACUGCGUCGCAUACCGGGUAGAAUCUCCUGAUGCACGUGGUGGGUUGGAAAGUGUCGGCGGUUGGGGAUGGACUCGCGGCUUAUCAGCUUGUUGGUGGGGUAGUGGCUUACCAAGGCUUUGACGGGUAGCCGGCCUGAGAGGGUGACCGGCCACAUUGGGACUGAGAGACGGCCCAGACUCCUACGGGAGGCAGCAGUGGGGAAUAUUGCACAAUGGGCGGAAGCCUGAUGCAGCAACGCCGCGUGCGGGAUGACGGCCUUCGGGUUGUAAACCGCUUUCGCCUGUGACGAAGCGUGAGUGACGGUAAUGGGUAAAGAAGCACCGGCUAACUACGUG